rnacentral:rRNA from 1 species
GACGAACGCUGGCGGCGUGCCUAAUACAUGCAAGUAGAACGCUGAAGAGAGGAGCUUGCUCUUCUUGGAUGAGUUGCGAACGGGUGAGUAACGCGUAGGUAACCUGCCUUGUAGCGGGGGAUAACUAUUGGAAACGAUAGCUAAUACCGCAUAACAAUGGAUGACACAUGUCAUUUAUUUGAAAGGGGCAAUUGCUCCACUACAAGAUGGACCUGCGUUGUAUUAGCUAGUAGGUGAGGUAAUGGCUCACCUAGGCGACGAUACAUAGCCGACCUGAGAGGGUGAUCGGCCACACUGGGACUGAGACACGGCCCAGACUCCUACGGGAGGCAGCAGUAGGGAAUCUUCGGCAAUGGGGGCAACCCUGACCGAGCAACGCCGCGUGAGUGAAGAAGGUUGUCGGAUCGUAAAGCUCUGUUGUAAGUCAAGAACGGGUGUGAGAGUGGAAAGUUCACACUGUGACGGUAGCUUACCAGAAAGGGACGGCUAACGACGUG